rnacentral:rRNA from 1 species
GACGAACGCUGGCGGCGUGCUUAACACAUGCAAGUCGAACGAUGAACCCGGAGCUUGCUCCGGUGGAUUAGUGGCGAACGGGUGAGUAACACGUGAGUAACCUGCCCUUGACUCUGGGAUAACUGCGGGAAACUGUAGCUAAUAACGGAUACGACCCUCGGCGGCAUCGCCAGGGGGUGGAAAGAUUUUCGGUCAAGGAUGGACUCGCGACCUAUCAGCUAGUUCGUGAGGUAACGGCUCACCAAAGCGACGACGGGUAGCCGGCCUGGGAGGGUGACCGGCCACACUGGUACUGGGACACGGCCCAGACUCCUACGGGAGGCAGCAUGGGGGAAUAUUGCACAAUGGGCGCAAGCCUGAUGCAGCAACGCCGCGUGAGGGAUGACGGCCUUCGGGUUGUAAACCUCUUUUAGUAGGGAAGAAGCGAAAGUGACGGUACCUGCAGAAAAAGCACCGACUAACUACGUGCCAGCAGCCGCGGUAA